rnacentral:rRNA from 1 species
CAGUAGCCGCGGUAAUACGUAGGUGGCAAGCGUUGUCCGGAAUUAUUGGGCGUAAAGCGCGCGCGGGUGGUUUAAUAAGUCUGAUGUGAAAGCCCACGGCUCAACCGUGAAGGGUCAUUGGAAACUGUUAAACUUGAGUGCAGGAGAGAAGAGUGGAAUUCCUAGUGUAGCGGUGAAAUGCGUAGAGAUUAGGAGGAACACCAGUGGCGAAGGCGGCUUUUUGGCCUGUAACUGACACUGAGGCGCGAAAGCGUGGGGAGCAAACAGGAUUAGAUACCCGUGUAGUCCCUGUCUCUUAUAA